AUAGCUUUUAUUGUCGUUUAAUGGGAAAACGAGAACAGCGUGAGUGUUGUAAAAGAAAAGAAAGUCGUUGGCGCUGUGGAGUUAAAAGAAGGGACAACAGUUGACAUAUUGACUGGUACAAACAAGGGUCGAGUGGCCAUCUGUAAAGCUACGAUUUUGAAAGUUUGUGAUGUCUUGGAAUCCAGAUACAAAAUGGUCAAGCUUCUUGUAGACAACCUCAUUCAAGGCCAACUCAUUGUGAGCCCAGGG